rnacentral:rRNA from 1 species
UACGUAGGGUGCGAGCGUUGUCCGGAAUUAUUGGGCGUAAAGGGUGCGUAGGUGGCCUGACAAGUUAUCAGUGGCAAAUCGAGGCUCAACCUCGUGGAAACUGGUAAUACUGUUCGGCUUGAGUACAGGAGAGGUUAACGGAACUCUAUGUGGAGCGGUAAAAUGCACAGAUAUAUAGAAGAACAUCAAUAAAGGCGAAGGCAGUUAACUAUUCUGUUACUGACGCUGAGGCACGAAAGCGUGGGGAGCAAAACGG